UACAGAGGUGCCAAGCGUUAGGCGGAAUCACUGGGCUUAAAGCGUGUGUAGGCGGAUCGUUAAGUACCUUGUGAAAUCCCACGGCUUAACCGUGGAACUGCUCGGUAUACUGGCGGUCUUGAGCAACCUAGGGGCGAGCGGAACAAAUGGUGGAGCGGUGAAAUGCGUAGAUAUCAUUUGGAACGCCAAUGGUGAAAACAGCUCGCUGGGGGUUUGCUGACGCUGAGACACGAAAGCCAGGGGAGCAAACGGG
rnacentral:rRNA from 1 species